rnacentral:rRNA from 1 species
CGGCAGAGUUUKRAAUCAUGGCUCAGGACGAACGCUGGCGGCGUGCCUAAUACAUGCAAGUCGAGCGGACAGAUGGGAGCUUGCUCCCUGAUGUUAGCGGCGGACGGGUGAGUAACACGUGGGUAACCUGCCUGUAAGACUGGGAUAACUCCGGGAAACCGGGGCUAAUACCGGAUGGUUGUYUGAACCGCAUGGUUCAGACAUAAAAGGUGGCUUCGGCUACYACUUACAGAUGGACCCGCGGCGCAUUAGCUAGUUGGUGAGGUAACGGCUCACCAAGGCGACGAUGCGUAGCCGACCUGAGAGGGUGAUCGGCCACACUGGGACUGAGACACGGCCCAGACUCCUACGGGAGGCAGCAGUAGGGAAUCUUCCGCAAUGGACGAAAGUCUGACGGAGCAACGCCGCGUGAGUGAUGAAGGUUUUCGGAUCGUAAAGCUCUGUUGUUAGGGAAGAACAAGUGCCGUUCRAAUAGGGCGGCACCUUGACGGUACCUAACCAGAAAGCCACGGCUAACUACGUGCCAGCAGCCGCGGUAAUACGUAGGUGGCAAGCGUUGUCCGGAAUUAUUGGGCGUAAAGGGCUCGCAGGCGGUUUCUUAAGUCUGAUGUGAAAGCCCCCGGCUCAACCGGGGAGGGUCAUUGGAAACUGGGGAACUUGAGUGCAGAAGAGGAGAGUGGAAUUCCACGUGUAGCGGUGAAAUGCGUAGAGAUGUGGAGGAACACCAGUGGCGAAGGCGACUCUCUGGUCUGUAACUGACGCUGAGGAGCGAAAGCGUGGGGAGCGAACAGGAUUAGAUACCCUGGUAGUCCACGCCGUAAACGAUGAGUGCUAAGUGUUAGGGGGUUUCCGCCCCUUAGUGCUGCAGCUAACGCAUUAAGCACUCCGGCCU